rnacentral:snRNA from 1 species
GGAUGUGAGGGCGAUCUGGCUGCGACAUCUGUCACCCCAUUGAUUGCCAGGGAUGAUUCGGCUGAUCUGGCUGGCUAGGCUGAUAACCCCUUCCUCCCUCACCGCUCCAUGUGCGUCCCUCCUGAAGCUGCACUCUCAGUCGAACAGGUCGGACUUCCCCGAAUAGAGACGGACUGGUGGAGGGUACAGGAGUAGCUGCGCUCCCCUGCUGGGACUUCCAAACAAUCUCUCAAGGUCCAUCUGUCGGCUAUUGUGACUAAAGCUGCUAUGAACAUAGAUCUGAAAAUAUCUCGUCCACAUCCUGCUUU